CACUCCUGCGGGAGGCAGCAGUGGGGAAUUUUGGACAAUGGGCGAAAGCCUGAUCCAGCAAUGCCGCGUGUGUGAAGAAGGCCUUCGGGUUGUAAAGCACUUUUGUCCGGAAAGAAAUCCUUGGCUCUAAUACAGUCGGGGGAUGACGGUACCGGAAGAAUAAGCACCGGCUAACUACGUGCCAGCAGCCGCGGUAAUACGUAGGGUGCGAGCGUUAAUCGGAAUUACUGGGCGUAAAGCGUGCGCAGGCGGUUUGCUAAGACCGAUGUGAAAUCCCCGGGCUCAACCUGGGAACUGCAUUGGUGACUGGCAGGCUAGAGUAUGGCAGAGGGGGGUAGAAUUCCACGUGUAGCAGUGAAAUGCGUAGAGAUGUGGAGGAAUACCGAUGGCGAAGGCAGCCCCCUGGGCCAAUACUGACGCUCAUGCACGAAAGCGUGGGGAGCAAACAGGAUUAGAAACCCCUGUAGUCCCAU
rnacentral:rRNA from 1 species